CCCUAGCCCCGAUUGAAGCAAGUAUCCUUGCCAUCCUGUAAGGUGGGAAGAUACUGCGGAAAGCGGGAAAUAGC
rnacentral:sRNA from 1 species